CCGUGUCCCCAGCUCGGUGCCCGACCUUGGGGCCGUUUCCUUGCGGACACUGUUCAAGCAGCGGCAGAUUUUGGGGCGAGCUGUGGCCGUGGGCUCGGCACAAGGCUGCGAGCUCCCCGAAGAGCAGGAGAGCGUGUGAGGAGCAGCGGCCGUGCCCCGGGGUGGGGGUGCCUGGCUGUCCCCUCCAGCUGGGCUGCUGCAGCCCCCGGCAGUGCCGGGCUCGGGCACGGCCCGAGGGGAGCUCUGGGCAGCGGUGCCAGCUCCGGGGUGCUGGGCCAGUGCUGGGUCAGUGCUGCUCGUACACCCCCCUGGCUCUCGGGGCCAGAGCCACGGGCCAGCUCCUGCUCCAGCAGCACCAGCUCCUCCAGCAGCUCCAGCUCCUCCAGCAGCUCCAGCAGCACCAGCUCCUCCAGCAGCACCAGCAGCUCCAGCAGCUCCAGCAGCUCCUCCAGCUCCUCCAGCUCCAGCAGCUCCUCCAGCUCCUCCAGCUCCUCCAGCUCCUCCAGCUCCUCCAGCACCAGCAUCUCCAGCCCGGCUCUGCCCUGGCUCCGUGGGACUGCCCUUUCCAGCAGCAGCAGAUCCAGCAGAUCCAGCAGCAGCAGCUCCAGCCCAGCUCUGCCCUGGCCCCAAGGGACUGCCCUUUCCAACAGCAGCAGAUCCAGCAGCUCCAGCAGCAGCUCCAGCUCCAGCAGCUCCAGCCCGGCUCUGCCCGGCUCUGUGAGACUGCCCUUCCAGCAGCAGCAGAUCCAGCGGCUCCAGCAGCUCCAGCUCCUCCAGCUCCAGCUCCAGCAGCUCCAGCCCAGCUCUGCCCUGGCCCCACGGGACUGCCCUUCCAGCAGAUCCAGCAGCUGCAGAUCCAGCAGCAGCAGAUCCAGCAGCAGCAGAUCCAGCAGAUGCAGCAGAUCCAGCAGAUGCAGCAGAUCCAGCAGAUGCAGCAGAUCCAGCAGCAGCAGAUCCAGCAGAUCCAGCAGCAGCAGAUCCAGCAGAUCCAGCAGCAGCAGAUCCAGCAGCAGCAGAUCCAGCAGAUCCAGCAGCAGCAGAUCCAGCAGCAGAUCCAGCAGAUGCAGCAGAUCCAGCAGAUCCAGCAAAUCCAGCAGCAGCAGAUCCAGCAGCAGCAGCUCCAGCCCCACGGGACUGCCCUUCCAGCAGCUCCAGCCCUGUGGCCGCUGCGCUGCGGGGCCGGGGUCGCUGCCAGCGGCUGCUGCUCUGCUCCACUGCCUUUUAUUCCACGUUAAAUGCCGCAGCAGGAGCAUCGCGAGCAGGUGUCAAAACAAGCCCAGCUGCAGCGACGCAAACUUAGGGAUUGAUUAA
ensembl:lncRNA